rnacentral:rRNA from 1 species
AUUGAACGCUGGCGGCAGGCUUAACACAUGCAAGUCGAGCGGGGUGAUGGUGCUUGCACUAUCACUUAGCGGCGGGCGGGUGAGUAAUGCUUAGGAAUCUGCCUAUUAGUGGGGGACAACAUCUCGAAAGGGAUGCUAAUACCGCAUACGUCCUACGGGAGAAAGCAGGGGAUCACUUGUGACCUUGCGCUAAUAGAUGAGCCUAAGUCGGAUUAGCUAGUUGGUGGGGUAAAGGCCUACCAAGGCGACGAUCUGUAGCGGGUCUGAGAGGAUGAUCCGCCACACUGGGACUGAGACACGGCCCAGACUCCUACGGGAGGCAGCAGUGGGGAAUAUUGGACAAUGGGGGGAACCCUGAUCCAGCCAUGCCGCGUGUGUGAAGAAGGCCUUAUGGUUGUAAAGCACUUUAAGCGAGGAGGAGGCUCUUUUGGUUAAUACCCAAGAUGAGUGGACGUUACUCGCAGAAUAAGCACCGGCUAACUCUGUGCCAGCAGCCGCAGUAA